CGAUACUUGGUGUGAAUUGCAGAAUUCAGUGAAUCAUCGAAUCUUUGAACGCACCUUGCGCUCCUUGGUAUUCCGAGGAGCACGCCUGUUUGAGUGUCGUGUAAUUCUCAACCUACAAGGUCCUUGUGGCUUUGUUAGGAUUGGAUAUUGGAGGGUUUAAUUGUCGGCUUGCAUGAGUCGGCUCCUCUUAAAUGCAUUAGCUUGGUCCUUUGCGGAUCGGCUCUCGGUGUGAUAAGUUUGUCUAUGCCGUGACCGUGAAGCGUUUUGUUGGGAAUGAGCUUCUAAUAGUCUCUUUACUUGAGACAAUACACUUUGACAUCUGACCUCAAAUCAGGCGGGACUACCCGCUGAACUUAAGCAUAUCAAUAAGCGGAGGAA
rnacentral:rRNA from 2 species